rnacentral:rRNA from 1 species
AUGGUCACGGCCCAGUUGUCCACAUGGCUUCCUUCCCGCCCUACCUCUGCCACACAUUCCAAAUAUGCACCACAUGUGCCAUUAAUUCCUUCAGGGGUGGUGCGUGCUCGUUGUACAGGCCUUCUAGCCACGCUUGCUAUCCACCCAUCACUGAGCCCCGAAGAAAGCUGUCUUGAUGCGGGGGAGGCCAAAACAAAUGGACGGUGUGGAGGACCUUCCCUGCACAUGCGGGGCAAGUGGGCAACACGUGAGGGAACACUCGAGGGAAGCAUACAGAGAAUAUUGAGCCCUCACAUCCACAUGUGA